rnacentral:rRNA from 1 species
AGGUAAUUAUUAAAUAUAUUUAUGUAAGAAUGUAUUAAUUUAAAUAAUUUUAAUGAAUAAUUUUUAGUAAUGUUUAUGGAAAUAGUAAAAAGGAUGAUAGUAAAAAGUACUGUGAAGGGAAAGUGAAAUAGGAUGAAAUAGUAAUUGGGUAAAAAGAAAAAUAGUAUUUGUACCUUGGGUAUCAGGGUUUAUUAAAUAAUAAUAAUGAUGAUGUAUAAUUCCCGAAUUAAGAAGAGUGAAGAUAGUAAAAUAGUUAAUGUAGUAUGAUUAUUAUUUAUAUUAUUUUUGGGAAUGAAAUGUUAAACGGUUUUUAAGUUAUCUGGUUUUUUAAGAGAUGAAUUUAAUUCAUAUUAUUAAGAGUGAAUAUUGAUUUAUUAUCAAUAAUUAUUUUUUGAUAUUAAAUUUAUAGGGGGAUAAGCUCUUAUAAAGUAAUUACAAAUUAUAUAGAUAACAGAAGUUGUAGGCUUUAAAUUAGCUAUCUAUUAAAUAAUGUUAUAAAUUGUUUUGUAAGUAAGUUAUUUUAAUAAUUUUUUUAAUUAGUUUAUUGAAAUAUUAUAUUUAAUUAUAAAAUAUAAGUGAUAAUGAUGAAAUGAGUAUAUAUAGUUGUUGCUAAUAAGUAGUUGGAAAUUUAUAGUAAGGAACUAGGCAAAAUUAUCACUCGCCUGUUUAUCAAAAACAUCUCCUUUUGUAUUUAUAAAAGGUUGGGCCUGCCCACUGAAAGAAUUGAAGGGCCGCGGUAUUAUGACCGUGCAAAGGUAGCAUAAUCAUUAGUCUUUUAAUUGAAGGCUGGAAUGAAUGGUUUAACGAGGUGAUAACUGUCUCACUAUUAUAGCUAGAAGUUAACUUUUAAGUCAAAAGGCUUAAAUUUUUAUAGGGGACGAGAAGACCCUAUAGAGCUUAUAUAUACAAAUAUAGAUUUAUGUUGUGGUAGAAAAGAGGAAUCUAUAUUAAUUAUAUUGUGUUGGGGUGACAUGAAGAUAUAAUAAACUCUUUAUUUUAGUAACAUUGAUGUAUGGAUAAUUGAUCCAUUUUUAAUGAUCAUAAGAUUAAGUUACCUUAGGGAUAACAGCGUAAUUUUCUUUGAGAGUUCAUAUCAACAGGGAAGAUUGCGACCUCGAUGUUGGAUUAAGGAAUAUAUUUAGAUGCAGUCGUUUAAUUUAUAGGUCUGUUCGACCUUUAAAUCCUUACAUGAUCUGAGUUCAGACCGGCGUGAGCCAGGUCGGUUUCUAUCUUUAUUGAAAUUAUAUAUUUUAGUACGAAAGGACCAAGUAUUUUAAAUAUUUUUAUAGUUUAUAUGAUUAGUAAUA